rnacentral:misc_RNA from 1 species
GAUGAAGAACGUAGCGAAAUGCGAUAAGUAGUGUGAAUUGCAGAAUUCAGUGAAUCAUCGAAUCUUUGAACGCACAUUGCGCCCCUUGGUAUCCCGAGGGGCAUGCCUGUUCGAGCGUCAUUUCACCACUCAAGCCUGGCUUGGUGUUGGGCGACGUCCCCUUUGGGGACGCGCCUCGAAACGCUCGGCGGCGUGGCACUGGCUUUAAGCGUAGCAGAAUCUUUCGCUUUGGAAGUCGGGGCCCCGUCUGCCGGAAGACCUACUCGCAAGGUUGACCUCGGAUCAGGCAGGGAUACCCGCUGAACUUAAGCAUAUCAAUAAGCGGAGGA